GACGAACGCUGGCGGCGUGCUUAACACAUGCAAGUCGAGCGGUAAGGCCCUUUCGGGGUACACGAGCGGCGAACGGGUGAGUAACACGUGGGUGACCUGCCCUUAGCUCUGGGAUAAGCCUGGGAAACUGGGUCUAAUACCGGAUAUGACUCCAUGACGCAUGUUGUGGGGUGGAAAGCCUUGUGCGGCUAGGGAUGGGCCCGCGGCCUAUCAGCUUGUUGGUGGGGUGAUGGCCACCAAGGCGACGACGGUAGCCGGCCUGAGAGGGCGACCGGCCACACUGGGACUGAGACACGGCCCAGACUCCUACGGGAGGCAGCAGUGGGGAAUCUUGCGCAAUGGGCGAAAGCCUGACGCAGCGACGCCGCGUGAGGGAUGACGGCC
rnacentral:rRNA from 1 species